CCACCAAAGCCUUCAAUUGCUUCAUCCCAGCGAAUACCCACCAAAACCUUCAAUUGCUUCAUCUCCAGUGAAGAACCCACCAAAACCAAAAUGCUUCAUCCCCGCUAAAUCCAAAUUAGCCUCCCCAAACCCACCAUUUUUUGCUCCAAAGCCUUCAAAUUCCAGCAAAGAACCAAAUCCCUUAUCCCUGCCAAAUCCAAAUUAACCUCCUAACACGGAAUCUGUUUCUUCCCCAAGAUAAACCAACGCCGCGAUUUUGCGCAAAUUGCUGAUUCUUUGCAAAUUGUUGAUACCGUUUCUUCCCACAACAAAUUUUUUCAAAGCCAGUCUCCAGUUCCUUUUGAUGUGACCCACUCGAAGACUCCUCCGACAUCAUCUCCAUAAUUUCCAGUUUGAACAUCUCUUCAUCUUUGUCAACGUAUGUCAAUCUGGUAGAACAAGGUUCAAAGGUAGAGCUUCCCUUUUGGCUUGCCAGUGAGCUGCACCUAAGAAAAGCAACCAUGAACUUGCCCAACUGACCAGUUGCAUUCUCCUAAUGCCCUCUGAACUGGGACAAAAAGGGGCAACUAUUUCAGAAUCAUCAUCAGGAUUUCCAUUUCAUGUUACAGGAAGUGUUCUUGGACGGUUGUCAGAAAUUCCCAAAGCACAAUUUAAGUGGGAGAUAAAACCAUUGCAUUGCUGGUCUUAGCUGCAUUUAUGAUCUGAAAUAAGGAAGUCCUGAUCAGGGUGCAAACUAUAGCGUUGGUAGUGGCAUGCGUGAGUAGCAGAGGAAGAGAAGAAAAUAAACACUUGAAGAUAAAUUUUUAUAUUACGUUAAUUUUUAACUAUUUUCAUUUUAGGAUUUAUUGUUGCUAUCAUUACAUAUAUUGGUAUUAUGUACUAGUCACAUUCAAAGCAGUUGAAGAUUGUGGUUUACAUUAGUUUUAUUUUAUGUGAUUAAUUGAAA